rnacentral:rRNA from 1 species
GAUGAACGCUGGCGGCGUGCCUAAUACAUGCAAGUCGAGCGAACAGACGAGGAGCUUGCUUUUCUGACGUUAGCGGCGGACGGGUGAGUAACACGUGGAUAACCUACCUAUAAGACUGGGAUAACUUCGGGAAACCGGAGCUAAUACCGGAUAAUAUUUUGAACCGCAUGGUUCAAUAGUGAAAGACGGUCUUGCUGUCACUUAUAGAUGGUUCCGCGCUGCAUUAGCUAGUUGGUAAGGUAACGGCUUACCAAGGCGACGAUGCAUAGCCGACCUGAGUGGGUGAUCGGCCACACUGGAACUGAGACACGGUCCAGACUCCUACGGGAGGCAGCAGUAGGGAAUCUUCCGCAAUGGGCGAAAGCCUGACGGAGCAACGCCGCGUGAGUGAUGAAGGUCUUCGGAUCGUAAAACUCUGUUAUUAGGGAAGAACAGAUGUGUAAGUAACUGUGCACAUCUUGACGGUACCUAAUCAGAAAGCCACGGCUAACUACGUG